UGCCAUGAAAGACAAGCUUGAUAUCUCUUUGGGAGUGGCAAUAGGCUCAUCAACACAGAUAUCAAUGUUUGGGAUACCUUUCCUUGUCGUUGUUGGCUGGAUCACGGGGCAUCCCAUGGACUUAAAUUUUCAACUUUUUGAGACAGCAACACUUUUUAUAACUGUUCUAGUGGUAGCCUUUAUGUUGAAGGAGGGAACUUCUAAUUACUUUAAAGGAUUAAUGCUCAUCCUCUGCUACCUAAUAGUUGCUGCAAGUUUCUUUGUACAUAUGGACCCUUCUUCGAUAGGGGAUCCGCCAAAACCGAGCGAAUAAAGAAAAUGGAUUAAUCAAGAGAAUACACUUGAGCUUGAGGACUUUGAUUACACAUCUGUUUGAAGAUGAGCAGAUACAGGCUUUAGCUUGCAACUUGAAACUUAGUGUAGGACUAAUAGUGAAAGUGAAGCAAGAAAUACAUGUAAAAAAAAAAAAAUUGCUAACCCUUGUAACUUCCUUUACUCUUUUGCUUAUACUUUACAUUAUUGAAUCUAUUAUGUUAUAUCAGUGAAAUUUUAGGUUAGCCUAUCUUUUUUGUAAGAG
rnacentral:misc_RNA from 1 species